rnacentral:rRNA from 1 species
UACAGAGGGGGCGAGCGUUGUUCGGAAUUAUUGGGCGUAAAGGGCGCGUAGGCGGCCUUCUAAGUCGAACGUGAAAUCCCCGAGCUCAACUCGGGAACUGCGUCCGAUACUGACAGGCUUGAAUCCGGGAGAGGGAUGCGGAAUUCCAGGUGUAGCGGUGAAAUGCGUAGAUAUCUGGAGGAACACCGGUGGCGAAGGCGGCAUCCUGGACCGGCAUUGACGCUGAGGCGCGAAAGCUAGGGGAGCAAACGGG